GACAGAGGGUGCAAACGUUGUUCGGAAUUACUGGGCGUAAAGCGCGUGUAGGCUGUUCCGCAAGUCGGAUGUGAAAGCCCUGGGCUCAACCUAGGAAGUGCAUUCGAAACUGCGAGACUUGAGUCCUGGAGAGGAAGGCGGAAUUCUCGGUGUAGAGGUGAAAUUCGUAGAUAUCGAGAGGAACACCGGUGGCGAAGGCGGCCUUCUGGACAGUGACUGACGCUGAGGUGCGAAAGCGUGGGGAGCAAACAGG
rnacentral:rRNA from 1 species